rnacentral:rRNA from 1 species
ACGCUCGACACCUACGGAGGCAGCAGUGGGGAAUAUUGCACAAUGGGGGAAACCCUGAUGCAGCGACGCCGCGUGGAGGAAGAAGGUCUUCGGAUUGUAAACUCCUGUUGUUGGGGAAAAANGGAUGGUACCCAACAAGGAAGUGACGGCUAACUACGUGCCAACAGCCGCGGUAAUCUGAGCGGGCUGGCAAGGC